UCAGCCCCAGCCCUCCCCACUCCCCGCACAUGGCCCAGCACAGUGCCCUGACACACCUUUGUCACCUGCCGAGGCAGACGUGCAGUCAGUCGAUGUGGGCAAUCCAUGUUUCAUGUUCCUGCUCUGCAAACCUGGCAGUUUCCCAAGCAGCACACAGGGAAGGCUGCAGAAUCCCUCAUCAGAUUGUGUCACUUCCCUGUAAGACUCAUGUAUGGGAGACUUUGCAAGGCCAGUGACUUACCUGAGAACAUGCUCAUCUAACCUUGAACCAGGUUAGCCAAAACCCCCUCAGACAAGUGUUCUACACCAGCUGCUCCCACACAGAUGCUCCAGGAGCAGCUGAGGGAGAGCCUUGGCCAGAAGCCAUGCACAGAGUGCAUCUCUCCCCUCAGCACAGACCAGGGACCUGCAGCACUCGCUGUUCUGUACAGACCCCAUGACACCUCCUGCAGCACAGCAGCAGUCACAGCCCCAAGCCAAGCUCUACUGCCAUGAGAUCAUGCCUUCUCUCUUGGCUUGAGGCAGCUUCAU